rnacentral:tRNA from 1 species
AGGGAUAUAGUUAAUAAUAACACUUGGGUUGCAUUCAAGAAGUACUACAUCUUAGUUUUCCUUA